GCCAGACUCCUACGGGAGGCAGCAGUGGGGAAUAUUGCACAAUGGGGGAAACCCUGAUGCAGCGACGCCGCGUGAGCGAUGAAGUAUUUCGGUAUGUAAAGCCCUAUCGGCAGGGAAGAAGGAGGACGGUACCUGACUAAGAAGCCCCGGCUAACUACGUGCCAGCAGCCGCGGUAAUACGUAGGGGGCAAGCGUUAUCCGGAUUUACUGGGUGUAAAGGGGGCGCAGACGGCAGCGCAAGCCAGGAGUGAAAGCCCGGGGCCCAACCCCGGGACUGCUCUUGGAACUGCGCGGCUGGAGUGCAGGAGGGGCAGGCGGAAUUCCUGGUGUAGCGGUGAAAUGCGUAGAUAUCAGGAGGAACACCGGUGGCGAAGGCGGCCUGCUGGACUGCGACUGACGUUGAGGCCCGAAAGCGUGGGGAGCAAACAGGAUUAGAUACCCCUGUA
rnacentral:rRNA from 1 species